rnacentral:rRNA from 1 species
GUCGAGCGAACAGACGAGGAGCUUGCUCCUCUGACGUUAGCGGCGGACGGGUGAGUAACACGUGGAUAACCUACCUAUAAGACUGGGAUAACUUCGGGAAACCGGAGCUAAUACCGGAUAAUAUAUUGAACCGCAUGGUUCAAUAGUGAAAGACGGUUUUGCUGUCACUUAUAGAUGGAUCCGCGCCGCAUUAGCUAGUUGGUAAGGUAACGGCUUACCAAGGCAACGAUGCGUAGCCGACCUGAGAGGGUGAUCGGCCACACUGGAACUGAGACACGGUCCAGACUCCUACGGGAGGCAGCAGUAGGGAAUCUUCCGCAAUGGGCGAAAGCCUGACGGAGCAACGCCGCGUGAGUGAUGAAGGUCUUCGGAUCGUAAAACUCUGUUAUUAGGGAAGAACAAAUGUGUAAGUAACUAUGCACGUCUUGACGGUACCUAAUCAGAAAGCCACGGCUAACUACGUGCCAGCAGCCGCGGUAAUACGUAGGUGGCAAGCGUUAUCCGGAAUUAUUGGGCGUAAAGCGCGCGUAGGCGGUUUUUUAAGUCUGAUGUGAAAGCCCACGGCUCAACCGUGGAGGGUCAUUGGAAACUGGAAAACUUGAGUGCAGAAGAGGAAAGUGGAAUUCCAUGUGUAGCGGUGAAAUGCGCAGAGAUAUGGAGGAACACCAGUGGCGAAGGCGACUUUCUGGUCUGUAACUGACGC